CCUACGGGAGGCAGCAGUGAGGAAUAUUGGUCAAUGGACGAGAGUCUGAACCAGCAAAGCCGCGUGAAGGAUGACUGCUCUCGGGGUUGUAAAUUUUUUUUAGAUGGGAAUAAAAUGUUCCUCGCGCGGGAUUAUGUACCUACAAUCUGAAUAAGAAUCGGCUAACUCCGUGCCAGCAGCCGCGGUAAUACGGAGGAUGCAAGCGUUAUCCGGAUGUUUUGGGUGUAAAGGGAUUGUAGGUGGGAAGUCAAGUCAGUUGUGAAAGCUUGCGGCUCAACCGUGAAAUUGCAGUUGAAACUGGCAGUCUUGAGUGCAGGAGAGGUGAGCGGAAUUCGUGGUGUAGCGGUGAAAUGCGUAGAUAUCAGGAAGAACACCGGUUGCGAAGGCAGCUCACUGGACUGUAACUGACGCUGAGGCUCGAAAGUGUGGGUAUCAAACAGGAUUAGAUACCCCAGUAGUC
rnacentral:rRNA from 1 species